GAUGAAGAACGCAGCGAAAUGUGAUAAGUAGUGUGAAUUGCAGAAUUCAGUGAAUCAUCGAAUCUUUGAACGCACAUUGCGCCCCUUGGUAUCCCGAGGGGCAUGCCUGUUCGAGCGUCAUUUCACCACUCAAGCCUGGCUUGGUGUUGGGCGACGUCCCCUUUGGGGACGCGCCUCGAAACGCUCGGCGGCGUGGCACCGGCUUUAAGCGUAGCAGAAUCUUUCGCUUUGGAAGUCGGGGCCCCGUCUGCCGGAAGACCUACUCGCAAGGUUGACCUCGGAUCAGGCAGGGAUACCCGCUGAACUUAAGCAUAUCAAUAAGCGGAGGA
rnacentral:misc_RNA from 1 species